ensembl:misc_RNA
ACAAUAACCCUGUAAUAACCACUCUUUUAUACAUAGAACAGGUACAGCCCAAGCAGUGGCUGUACAAAUUUUCCCACACAGUUUUUCAGCAUGUCUGAACCCUGACCCGGAGGAUGAGAGCAAGCAGGUCAGUCUCCAUACUCAUUUUGUACUUUAAUCCU